rnacentral:rRNA from 1 species
GACAGAGGUGCCGAGCGUUAGGCGGAAUCACUGGGCUUAAAGCGUGUGUAGGUGGCGCGUUAAGUCCGUUGUGAAAGCCCUGGGCUCAACCCAGGAACUGCUUCGGAUACUGGCACGCUUGAGGCUAGUAGGGGUCACUGGAACUGACGGUGGAGCGGUGAAAUGCGUAGAUAUCGUCAGGAACGCCAAUGGUGAAGACAGGUGACUGGGCUAGUUCUGACACUGAGGCACGAAAGCGUGGGGAGCGAACGGG